rnacentral:rRNA from 1 species
GAUGAACGCUGGCGGCGUGCCUAAUACAUGCAAGUCGAGCGCAAAGAUAAGGAGCUUGCUCCUUUGAUUUGAGCGGCGGACGGGUGAGUAACACGUAGGCAACCUACCCUUGAGAUUGGGAUAACUACCGGAAACGGUAGCUAAUACCGGAUACGACCUUUCUGCAUAAGCGGACUGGUUAAAAGGCGGAUUUAUCUGCCGCUCAUGGAUGGGCCUGCGGUGCAUUAGCUAGUUGGUGAGAUAGUAGCUCACCAAGGCGACGAUGCAUAGCCGACCUGAGAGGGUGAUCGGCCACACUGGGACUGAGACACGGCCCAGACUCCUACGGGAGGCAGCAGUAGGGAAUCUUCCGCAAUGGACGCAAGUCUGACGGAGCAACGCCGCGUGAGUGAUGAAGGGUUUCGGCUCGUAAAACUCUGUUGUUAAGGAAGAAUACUUGAGGUAGUAACUGGCCUUGAG